GCGCGGGUAGUGCAAUGGUUACUACGCAGCCCAGGAAAGGGUGAGAUGCGGGUUCGAAUUCCGCCCGUUAUCCGAACUCGUGCA